AUGCUCGUUUUGGCAGCACAUACACUAAAACUGGAACGAUACAGAGAAGAUUAGCACGGCCCCUGCGCAAGGAUGACACACAAACUCGUGAAGCAUUCCAUAUUUUU
ensembl:snRNA U6 U6 spliceosomal RNA